GUUAACCUUUUUUAAUUCAUAUCUUCCUUUAAUGUGGAGUAUCCAAAAAAAAAUUUAGUCCAUUAUCUUCUUCUUCGUCUCUUUUUUCUUUCUUCUAAAAUUCCAUGUCUGUCGUCAAGAUCAGCCCACCAUCAACAAUCUCGCUUAACUCCUCUAAUUGAUUCUGAUUCAAAACGUACAUCAUCCAGUAGAAAGUAAUUUGGCUCUCCAUUUUUCUUUGUGAUUUCAUAUUACUUGUACAGAUUUUCUUACUCAUGGUGUGACUGAGAAAAAUAUUUUGAUGGUUAUAUUGGACAAAAUCAUAUAUCUAAAAGGGUAAGAUCAGCGUUCAAGAGAAGGAGGAAUAUAUUUAGUCUCCUUGUCCAAGAACCAACUGCAACUCAAAGGACUAAUUCCAGAUCAGGAGUACCAACAAUUAGGAUAUGAUGAGGAUUGGAACCCAAAUUCGGUUCCCAGAAGCAAAUAGGCUAUAUUGAUUAAAGAAAAUAUUUUAGAUCUAAAACGUAUGUAAAUUCGAUUCAAUAACAUUUGGAUCCAUUGGCUAUUAUUGUACAAGAUUUACUGUUUUUUUUUCAAUUAUUGGUUAAAUUGUAACUUUUAUUUAAUGGAAAUUAUAUGAUCAUCAAUUUUCUCA